rnacentral:rRNA from 1 species
GUCUAUGGCCAUACCACCCUGAACGCGCCUGAUCUCGGAAGCUAAGCAGGCUUGGACCUGGCUGGUACUUGGAUGGGAGACCGCCUGGGAAUACUGGGUGCUGUAGACU